rfam:Ictidomys tridecemlineatus contig035303, whole genome shotgun sequence.
AGAAUGCAUUUGGGUUGGCUUGCUCCGGAGUUAUGCGAAGUAGAAACACAAAGCAAACCCCAAGUUGGGAGA